rnacentral:rRNA from 1 species
UACGAAGGGGGCUAGCGUUGCUCGGAAUCACUGGGCGUAAAGGGUGCGUAGGCGGGUCUUUAAGUCAGGGGUGAAAUCCUGGAGCUCAACUCCAGAACUGCCUUUGAUACUGAAGAUCUUGAGUGCGGGAGAGGUGAGUGGAACUGCGAGUGUAGAGGUGAAAUUCGUAGAUAUUCGCAAGAACACCAGUGGCGAAGGCGGCUCACUGGCCCGAUACUGACGCUGAGGCACGAAGGCCAGGGGAGCAAACGGG